UGGGGAAUAUUGGACAAUGGAGGCAACUCUGAUCCAGCAAUUCUGUGUGUGUGAAGAAGGUUUUAGGACUGUAAAACACUUUUAGUAGGGAAGAAAAAAAUGACGGUACCUACAGAAGAAGCGACGGCUAAAUACGUGCCAGCAGCCGCGGUAAUACGUAUGUCGCGAGCGUUAUCCGGAAUUAUUGGGCUUAAAGGGCAUCUAGGCGGUUAAACAAGUUGAAGGUGAAAACCUGUGGCUCAACCAUAGGCUUGCCUACAAAACUGUAUAACUAGAGUACUGGAAAGGUGGGUGGAACUACACGAGUAGAGGUGAAAUUCGUAGAUAUGUGUAGGAAUGCCGAUGAUGAAGAUAACUCACUGGCCAGCAACUGACGCUGAAGUGCGAAAGCUAGGGGAGCAAACAGG
rnacentral:rRNA from 1 species